CACCUGCGAUAACGCGGCCGCGCGUUGGU
rnacentral:sRNA from 1 species